rnacentral:snoRNA from 1 species
GGGGUUGGGCGAUGCAGAGAUCGUCUCCCAUGUUCUCGCCGGCCUCGACCUCGACUACAACCCGGUCGUGUCGGCUCUUGCAGCGCGGGUCGAGCCUGUGACUGUCCAGGAAUUAUUCAACCAAUUACUCAGCUUCGACG